rnacentral:rRNA from 1 species
AACGAACGCUGGCGGCAUGCCUAACACAUGCAAGUCGAACGAGACCUUCGGGUCUAGUGGCGCACGGGUGCGUAACGCGUGGGAACCUGCCCUUAGGUUCGGAAUAACUCCCCGAAAGGGGUGCUAAUACCGGAUAAUGUCUUCGGACCAAAGAUUUAUCGCCUUUGGAUGGGCCCGCGUUGGAUUAGCUAGUUGGUAGGGUAAAAGCCUACCAAGGCGACGAUCCAUAGCUGGUCUGAGAGGAUGAUCAGCCACACUGGGACUGAGACACGGCCCAGACUCCUACGGAAGGCAGCAGGGGGGAAUAUUGGACAAUGGGCGAAAGCCGAAUCCAGCAAUGCCGCGUGAGUGAUGAAGGCCUUAGGGUUGUAAGGCUCUUUUACCCGGGAUGAAAUGACAGUACCGGGAGAAUAAGCUCCGGCUAACUCCGUG